CGAAGGGAGCUAGCGUUGUUCGGAAUUACUGGGCGUAAAGGGCGUGUAGGCGGUACCAUAAGUCAGAUGUGAAAGCCCCGGGCUUAACCCGGGAGGUGCAUUUGAUACUGUGGAGCUAGAGAUCGAGAGAGGAAAGUGGAAUUACGAGUGUAGAGGUGAAAUUCGUAGAUAUUCGUAAGAACACCAGUGGCGAAGGCGACUUUCUGGCUCGAAACUGACGCUAAGGCGCGAAAGCGUGGGGAGCAAACAGGAUUAGAUACCCUGGUAGUCCACGCUGUAAACGAUGAGUGCUAGAUGUUGGUGAAGGAAUUCAUCAGUGUCGCAGUUAACGCAUUAAGCACUCCGCCUGGGGAGUACGGUCGCAAGAUUA
rnacentral:rRNA from 1 species